rnacentral:rRNA from 1 species
AUUGAACGCUGGCGGCAGGCCUAACACAUGCAAGUCGAGCGAGCGGCGGACGGGUGAGUAAUGUCUGGGAAACUGCCUGAUGGAGGGGGAUAACUACUGGAAACGGUAGCUAAUACCGCAUACCAUCAGAUGUGCCCAGAUGGGAUUAGCUAGUAUGUGGGGUAACGGCUCACCUAGGCGACGAUCCCUAGCUGGUCUGCGAGGAUGACCAGCAACACUGGAACUGAGACACGUUCCAGACUCCUACGGGUGGCAGCAGUGGGUAAUAUUGCACAAUGGUCGCAAGCCGGAUGCGGCCAAGCCGCAUGUGUGAAGAAGGCCUUCUGGUUGUAAAGCACUUUCAGCGGGGAGGCGUUACCCGCAGAAGAAGCACCGGCGAACGCCGUGCCAGCAGCCGCGGUAAUAC